AAAAAAAAAAGACGAGUCAAGUCGAAUAGUACUCAUUGGUGAUGGUUAUACCAACGGAGAAUUAAACACAAAAUAAUUGAUAAACAUGAUAAAAUGAAGAGCAGAGACAUUUUCUUCGGAUAGAAGCUGUUUUCCCGGUCUCGUACACUCACAUGGGAUGCAGAAAGUUUGGCACAGACUCCAUUAAAUGGCUUUAUACAAGAGAAAUCACCGGCGGAUAAAUGCAUCAACAGAUGAUAAAUGUUCUGCACCAUUGACUUUAAAGAAUACUUUAUUUUUUUUUAAUAUAUAAGACUGUAGUAGGUAGACCAUAUGUUUUAGCAGAGUUAAAAAUCAAGAAUUUAAGCUAAAAUUGAAGGAAUUCAUCCUAAUAUCUAAGUUCUAAGAAAGAAUUCAAUCUAAAGAUGAAAAGACGAGUACCUGCAAAAUUAGUGACAAUGAU
rnacentral:misc_RNA from 1 species